UGAGGAAUUUUGCGCAAUGGGCGAAAGCCUGACGCAGCGACGCCGCGUGGAGGAAGACGGCCUUCGGGUUGUAAACUCCUGUCAGGGGUGAAGAAACUUCGCAAGAAGCUGACGGUAACCCCAGAGGAAGCCCCGGCUAACUACGUGCCAGCAGCCGCGGUAAUACGUAGGGGGCAAGCGUUGCUCGGAAUUACUGGGCGUAAAGGGUGUGUAGGUGGCUGAUUAAGUUAAGGAUGAACUCCCGAGUCUCAACUUCUGAACUGGUCUUGAUACUGGUCAGCUUGAGGCUAGUAAAGGAGAGCGGAAUUCCCGGUGGAGAGGUGAAAUGCGUAGAGAUCGGGAGGAACACCAGAGGCGUAGGCGGUUCUCUAGGCUAGUCCUGACACUGAGACACGAAAGCUAGGGGAGCAAACG
rnacentral:rRNA from 1 species